rnacentral:rRNA from 1 species
AUUGAACGCUGGCGGCAGGCCUAACACAUGCAAGUCGAACGAGUGGCGGACGGGUGAAUAAUGUCUGGGAAACUGCCUGAUGGAGGGGGAUAACUACUGGAAACGGUAGCUAAUACCGCAUACCAUCAGAUCUGCCCAGACUGGAUUAGCUCGUUGGUGGGGUAACGUCUCACCAAGGCGACGAUCCCUAGCUGGUCUGAGAGGAUGACCAGCCACACUGGAAUAGAGACACGUGCCAGACGCCUACGGGAGGCAGCAGUGGGGAAUAUUGCACAAUGGGCGCUAGCCUGCUGCAGCCAUGCCGCGUGUAUGAAGAAGGCCUUCGGGUUGUAAAGUACUUUCAGCGGGGAGGCGUUACCCGCAGAAGAAGCACCGGCUAACUCCGUGCCAGCAGCCGCGGUAAUUC